UUCCAAAUCAGUGCCACGCUUAUCCCAUCAGACAAUUUACUGAGGGGACCUCCAUCCUGUUGGAAGAAUCUGCAACCGCUCAUUAGCCGUCAGUGUUGCUGGAAAUGGGAAAUAAGAACUUCUUCAUUACUGUGUUUUGCAGAAGUCAGUGUUAAUAAUGAUUUAAACGAUGACCCACCAUGCUCAAAAAAUCAAAAGGAUCAGGCUGACAAAUGAAACAUAAAACACGGAUACGUCUAUUAUAAACCCAAACCCAGCACCAUCUCGCCAGCCUUAAUACACCAUUUUCUGCCACAUAACAUUCAGGUUAAUUUGAAUUUCAUUGGUGCUUUAGUUUUAUCUGCUCUUAAUUUUGAAGGCAUUUUGUUUUUAUUAUUGUAUAAGGGCUCUUGCUUUCUGUUUAUGCGUACUUAAAUACAACUAUAUAAAAAUGAUUUAGUUCAACACCGCAACAUUUUGAAGAUCCCUGUAUUAUUUGAAUUGGAGAAAAGAUGCUACGUAGCAUUUGUCCACUUAACACACGCUCUCCAGUCCUAAGAGGUUCGCCUAUUCGGGUACCGUAAACUUAUUUCUGCGGAAGGUCCAGAUGAAAACAAUUUUACUGCGUAAGAAAUUAUUUCCAUUAUCAUCCUUUGUGUGCUGCAUGAAGACAAGAACACGAACUUUUGUCCAGAACUAGAUCUCCCUCAAUAAAACCGAGGUUAACGGCUUCACUCAGUCAACAGGCACUGUUUAUUUUUAGAAUAUCCCCGAAAUAUGAAUCAAAAAGACAAAAGAAUAAAAGCGAAACUAUCAGGCCACUCUGGAAGGAAAAAUAUAAAGUUCCCAAAUGAAUGUGUUCCUUGAAAAUAUAAACCAUUUCUUCCUAGCUUGGCUCUGUCGUGCAUCUCGGAAAAGGAUGUUUUUACAAUCAGAGCAGAAAUAUGACUGGCGCUCCUACACUUACAUUUCUUUGUUGCAAAAUGAAUGUAACUUGUUCGGAUUCCAGCAGCAGAGAAGUCGUGGUUACUUUCCAAAGUGAAACCUAAAACCACCAUCUCCGGUUCACAAAAGGCAGAAUGAGUCACCGGAAGAGGCUACUUGCUUGCAAAACUCAUUAAAAGCAAUGCAAGGCUGAAUGGACUUCCUGCACCAGUGAAAGGAUCGCUGGCAUCAGGACAGCAGCUCAAGGCUCCAGCAAUCUGGGGGAGGAAGGGAGCCGUCAGAAAUCCGGGCCGAGCCCAGGUCUGCGGGUUCACACGCACUCCCAUCUCCUCCCAGCCGGGACCAGCGGCCCGAGAUGCCCAGGAAGGUGGUUCCGGCUGGCAGCUGAGCCUCAAAGGCUCGGGACACCUUGGACUCGGUCGAGGCGCUGUAUUGGGUUUCCAGGGGCCCCCAACCUUCAGCAGCUUUCUGUGGCCCUGACCAGGCCAAAGUUAGAUGUCAGCGGCUAUAAUACAGAAGCGGCUUCCUGGGAACAGGAUCCGGCCUCAGAUACAGAGGCGUGAAGAGAUGAACUGUUUGGAUCUGGGCUUCAGGAGGAGCUCAGCCCGGCACCCUGUACCAGAGUACCAGAGACAUCUUUGAAGCAUUUCAAAGAGGGACCAAUAUUCUUACACUUAUUCCCGAAACACUCAGGCUGACGCACACAGGUAAAUAACAGGAUGCCUCAGGCAUCCUGUCGUGUCGACGAUGCACAACAUCGAUAGGAGUUACGACGGCGUUCAGGUGAUCUGGGUAAACUCGCCAAGGGUUUUGACUGAUUUGUUCAAAAUGAGAGACAAAUCGGGUAUACCACAGAAAGUAUCCAAAAAAUGAGGACAGUGGACAUGACGCAAGGGAACCUGUAUCGUGUCUUUUAUUUUACGUAUAUUAUAGUGUUCUGGGAUCUUAAAAAACUUGCUGGCUGGGAAAGACGGGCUGGCCAUGUUUUAGGGAUAGCAAAGGGCCCAGCUGAAGCACGCCUGGGAUGUGCAAACUAGCUGAUCCAGAGCCAGGCCUCCUGUCUGGCCUGUGCACCCCCCCAGGAGGCACUAGUCCUCUGCCUUAAUCAGGCAACCAAGGGCCACCCCUAUAGCUCAGAGGCCACUGAAAUGAUUUGCACUAGGCAGUCCUAAGCUGUUCACCUUGCCCUGCCUUUCCUGCAGAAAUCCCAGCAAAGGCCGUGGCCUCAGCCCCGCCCCCCCCCAUCACUUGUCUUUUGCCUCCUGACCACCCUGGUGCUUCCCCACGUGGCCCUGCUGGCGAGCUGCCUCCCAUUCUGAGAAGCCGCUAGUAUAAUAAGCUUGGUUUUCCUGAGCCUCUCCUGUGUUUUCUCUUGUGGCUGCCACCUGACUGACAUCCCAUUCAAGAACAGGGAACGGAGCCCACCCGUGUAAGAGCCACGUGUUAAACACCGAUUACAGGCCAGGUCCUGGGAGGCGCCUCAGGUACAGCGUUUAACGGAACCCUCCCUGCUCCAGAGUCACUCCCAUCAAGGUGGGACAAGCCCAGGGGGGCAGCCCUCUCCUCUCCUCUCUGUCUUCACCCCUCCUUCCCCCCACCCCGCGGCGAGUGCACACAGAGGGUCGGUAUUUCACCGAAGGCAUCAGAAGAGACGGGCUCUUUUAUUCCAAAUAUUGAAUGAACAGUUCACAGCAUUAAGGGUUUCGUUUUUUUUGUUUACUGAGUA